UUAUUAUAGGAGCAGGAGGCAGAGUCCAUGGAGGUCAAUGAGACCAAAGAGAGUAGUAGAGGAGUUAAACCAAUUGCUUCAAUUGCUUGAUCGAGUUUUAGCUUGUAGGCCGGCAGGAAUGGCUAAGAGUAGUAGAUUAGUAAUUACUGCGCUUAAUUUGGUAAUCAAAGAGAGCUUUGGGUUGUAUAUUGAGAUUUGUGAUGCAUUGGGGGUUUUGUUGGAUCACUUUAAAGAAAUGGAAUAUGGUGAUUGUCUUAGGGCUUUUGAUAUUUGUGCUAAUGCUGCAAAGAAUAUUGAUGAACUUGUGGAAUUUUAUGCUUGGUGUAAGGAUG
rnacentral:misc_RNA from 1 species